rnacentral:lncRNA from 1 species
AGAAAACUGAGAUCCAGAAAUUCAAGAUCAAUAACCAAUAAUUGAAAAGGAAGUAAGACAGCCUGCCUUUGGAAUAUUGUGCCACUUUACCAAUAAUUUACUCUAAUUAAAAUGAAACAAAAAUGUGUGCAUGUUAUUGGAUGUAUGGAAAGAUGCAUCAAACUAAAUGACCUCAAGGGAGAGGUGUGGCUUCCGUGAGGAAGAUGACAAGACUCCUUCUUGGUACUCAUGUAAUAAGUUUGUGAUAAAAGAUAUUAUUACUAAACAAAGAUUAACAUGUAUAACUUGUCUCCUUUAAACAUAAUCUCAGAAUAUUAGGCAAAAAUAUUAGAGAGUAGAAAGUCUCUCCUCUUCGUUAAGUUCUCUAAAACAUUUUUACUCUUUAACAGGUUCAACUCUACCAACUGUCUAUAGCAUUUCACAGUGUUGUGGAUGAUUAUGCUGUCUAGGGAACUGAGUAGUUACUGCACUUUCAAAAACAUCAUCUCACAGUCCUGAGUGAUCUAUCCACACAUCCAUCUUCAAGCUUCCCAAAGGCAGGAAUCACCUAUUGUUCGUCUGUAAACUCCAAUGAGAAACAUACAGUCUGGUGUAUGGGAGGUCAUCAAAACAAGUGUGGAGGUAUAAGCUAAGACUGACAACUGCCUCCCAAGUUUCUAUUCAAAAGUAAUCAUUUUGGAUGUAAAUCUCAUCAGGAAUGUGUUUAAACUCAGGAACUGCUGAAUUGUACUGUAACUUGGCUCAUCCCAAAUAGUGCAGUUGUCUUCACAAUGGAGAGACUGUCACAGCCUAAAAAGACACGUGACUCUGAGCAUCAGUUUACUGGCUGCCCACUCAAUGAUUCAGACUCCUCCAUUCUUUGUGUGGAAGAGAACUGGCCUUCCGGGAGCCUGAGGCCAAGUGAGAGAACCUUCUGAAAGCCGUCACUGCAUGGGGAGCCUGGACUUACCCUUUGCCUUGUUGGAGCUGUUUGUCUAUUUCCGUCUCGAAGUUCUCUAUAGAUUGGGCUAGUGUCUUUCACCACUGUGUCCUUAAUGUCCUGGAGACUGCCCGCCACUUAGCAGGGGCCUAUAAGCACGUGAAGUGAGGCCAGGACAAAUCCUUAUGCCCUCUACCCUCGCACAGCAUCUGGAAACAUGAGAGAUGUUAGGUGUGUGUUUUAAAUGAAUAAAUGUGUGAAUUCAAAUUAUUUCAAACGCCUGUUUCAGAGAGACAGAAAAAAGACCUGUUUCUUAGAAAAAAGAGAAAAAAAGAUGAUUUAUUUCUCCAGUAGUAUGAAGGAAAAGCUUCAUCCAUCAUUUUAAGUGCUUCAAAUGGUUACAAAUGGCCUAGAGAAAGAAGGCAUUUUUAGUUUUAGCUAUAUGUUUAAAAUUUCAAUAUAAAUUAUUAUUGUGAUUAUUUGUCACAUACUUUACUGUUUGUCAAAUAACAAUAGCACUAUAUUUGACUGGGCAAUCUUGUAUCUUUCUAGGUCAGUGUAAGGUUCUCUACAUAAUUUAAGGAAGAUUUUAGGCCAAUUACAAAAAAAAAAUGUAUAAGAUUUACAACACAGGAAUAAAUCAGGGAAAAGAAGAUCUGAUGUCCAGUCAGACAGGAUGAAGGCCUAUUUCUCAAGGAAAACAUAACACCUAUCUGUUCCCUCUGAAAGGUAACAUUUAUCUACAAAGAGAAGGAAGGUUCACAGAGAACAUAGGGACACCAUAAGGACUCCUAAUGAGACAACUACUUCUGGUUUUAUAAAGAAGCAAACUAGCAAGUUUCACAUCUCUACAGUGACCACUGGUAUAUCCACCAAUGUCAGAAAAUAGUACAUCUAUUACAAAAUGUUUUCUUAAUAUUUCAUUCUAAUACCAUACGUGGAGAUGCUGCUGUCUGUUUAGUAAUGGAGGUACAUGUUUUCAACAGUAGACCAUAGGUGCAUAGUGCAUUUUCUAGACUUAAAAUAAUCAUAGCCCUGCAAGUCCAUGGCAGCAUUUCACAGAUGCUGGCCUCUCUUUACAUCACUGAGGCAUGCAGGCCAAGACUUUGAAGUGCUCUGUUUUCAGCCAAGUUGCCAUGUUUGGCUUUUCAGCAUUUUCUGUAUGUUUUAUGAUUUCAAUAAAAAGAUAUGCCAGACCUCUCUGGCCAGCAAAUAAUUAGGACUUUUUGAUCACAACAAUAGUAUCUAGUAAGAGAUCUUUUCCAUUUAAUCAACUUUUUGUGUAUUUUAUUGGUUUUUAUUAUAAAAUUCAUUUUAAUAGUUUUAAAUUUACAAAUUCUGAAGUCUAGUAUCUGAGAAGCUGCUUCUCAGAUUUAUGUGAUUUUUAACACUAAAAUGGAAUUUUCUGUGACUGAGAUCUUGAGGUUCCUAUAAAUGUUUAGUAAACUGCUUCCAGGGUUUUAGUGGUAAUAAAUCAGAAAUAUGUAUUCUUUGAUGUCUGUAAGAUAGUAUUGCAUGGCCAGCAUUCACUUUUCUGUUUGGAAGAGAUGGGAAUCAGGCAGAUAGUGUUACUGGGAAAAAGACAAAACAAACUCAAGACAAUAUUUAUCCACGAGGACUUGACAAGAGAGCCAAAAUGCAAUCUUUCAGAAAGGCAACCAUUUUCACCGGGUCAUUUGCUAGAUGAUGUGGAAAAAGCAGUGCUAUUCCUUGUCCAAUUGAAGUACCAGAUUGAGACUGCACUAAUAAGCUUUGCUAAAGAUCCAAGGGGAGUUAUAAUUGAUAAAAGAUCAACAAGAAUAGUUCAUUUACAAGUUAUUCUAUUAUCUAUGACAUUUCAAUUAUCAAUAUUCAGGUGCUAUAUGUCUAUAAAAGUAUAUAUAGCUUGUUUCAUCUUGUAAACUUCCCUAUUAGGAUAACUAAUAAUAACUUUGAGUAUUACAUUGUAGAAUCAGAAGGUCAUUGUGUAUAUUAAAUAUACUUACUGCUAGUAUAAUAUGAAGUGUGCUGCGUAGUUGUUAAUGCCAUAGUCUCUUUAGUCAGGCUGGCUAAAUGCUUACCGGCUGUUUGACCUUGGGCAAGUUAUCCAACCACUCACAGAUGAUAAAACCCAGGCAUAAUAAAACUUGGCUCAUAAUUUGUGUAUGUGCAUAUGUGUAUUAAAUAAUUCAGGUAAAAGAUUUAGCACAUCUUGGAAGGUGUUCAUGAUAGCUAUGAUUAUAUAAAAAUAUAUGAUAUCUACAAAGCCCUAAAAAAUAAAGACAUAAGUUAAUUUAAUAUUGUGAACAGCAUGAUCCUAAUCGGUACCACAACCUUGAUAUCCUAAAAC